UAAAAAUGAAUCGGGGCUCCGGCCCGAUCCUCCCACCCUUUGUGUACCUACCUCUGUUGCUUUGGCGGGCCGCGGUCCCCCGCGGCCGCCCCCCCUCCCCGGGGGGUGGCUAGUGCCCGCCAGAGGACCAUCAAACUCCAGUCAGUGAACGUCGCAGUCUGAAAAAACAUUCAAUAAACUAAAACUUUCAACAACGGAUCUCUUGGUUCUGGCAUCGAUGAAGAACGCAGCGAAAUGCGAUAAGUAAUGUGAAUUGCAGAAUUCAGUGAAUCAUCGAAUCUUUGAACGCACAUUGCGCCCCUUGGUAUUCCGAGGGGCAUGCCUGUUCGAGCGUCAUUACAACCCUCAAGCUCUGCUUGGUAUUGGGCACCGCCCUUCUUCGGGCGCGCCUCAAAGACCUCGGCGGUGGCUGUCUUGCCUCAAGCGUAGUAGAAUACACCUCGCUUCGGAGCGCAGGGCGUCGCCCGCCGGACGAACCUUCUGAACUUUUCUCAAGGUUGACCUCGGAUCAGGUAGGGAUACCCGCUGAACUUAAGCAUAUCAAUAAGGCGGAGGAA
rnacentral:rRNA from 1 species